rnacentral:rRNA from 1 species
UACGAAGGGUGCAAGCGUUACUCGGAAUUACUGGGCGUAAAGCGUGCGUAGGCGGUUUGUUAAGUCCGUUGUGAAAGCCCUGGGCUCAACCUGGGAAUUGCAGUGGAUACUGGCGAGCUAGAGUGCGGUAGAGGAUGGUGGAAUUCUCGGUGUAGAGGUGAAAUUCGUAGAUAUCGAGAGGAACACCGGUGGCGAAGGCGGCCAACUGGACGAAUACUGACGCUGAGACACGAAAGCGUGGGGAGCAAACAGG